rnacentral:rRNA from 1 species
CGGCCGGCGCGCGCGUGUCGUCGUCACGCCCCAGACCUCUAAUCGGAAAAGACUACCCGCUGAGUUUAA